AUCCAGGUCACAAUGGUGGUGGGAGGAAGACGAGGAAGACGUGUUGGUCAAAGGAAUGGCAGGGGACAGGCACCCCUUCUGAGAGGUGGUCGUGGGCCUUGUUUGAGAGGUGUGGAGGAACGUGGUAGAGGACAAGGCCACGGACCAAGACAGCGGCAACAACAGCAUCGAGUGCCCAAUGAAAUUUGGGCAAUAGUCGUGGACCAUGUCAUGAAUCACGGCAUGACAAUGACUGAGGAGGUUACAGUGAUACAAUCAAACCUCAGAAGGUCAACCGUGGCCUCAAUACUCAGAACUUUCCGCAAUGAGAACCAAAUUGUGACCAGGCCAAAUAGUGGAGGCAGAGGUAAAAUUCUAACCAACAAGAGCAGGCUGUGGUGGAUUUGGUUGGGGCCAGAAAUGAUAUUCGCCUUACAGAAAUUCAUAUAAAACAACUGUACCGUGUGCCUUUCAAAAGAAAUGCAGACAGAGUGAAGCAAAUGAGGACUGACUAUGUUCAGAGGGUGAUGGAGCUGGAUGCUGAUGACGACCAUCACAAAUUCAUAUAUUUGGAUGAGGCAGGUUUUAAUCUGGCCAAGACAAAGAGGAGAGGUCGGAAUUUCAUUGGCCAGAGGGCAACCAUCCAAGUACCUGGACAACGUGGAGCCAAUAUUACCAUGUGUGCGGUUAUAUCAGAAGAUAGUGUGGUGGGACGCAGACCUCAUAUUGGACCAUAUAAUGCAGCUCUCCUUGUCACUUUUCUUGAUGAGCUCGAUCAGGUUUGUAGAGCUGAAGGUGUGACCUAUGUCAUUGUGUGGGACAAUGUCAGGUUCCAUCAUGCUCAUGUGGUGCAAGCAUGGUUUCAGGCCCAUGCACAAUUUACCACCCUGUAUUUACCCCCAUACUCUCCCUUCCUUAACCUGAUUUCAUAGCUAAUUAUUUUUGCUUUGAUUCAAAUAAACCUAUGUUGUGAUUG